CAGCAGCCACGGGAAAACGAAGGGGGCUAGCGUUGUUCGGAAUUACUGGGCGUAAAGCACACAUAGGCGGAUAUUUAAGUCAGGGGUGAAAUCCCGCAGCUCAACUGCGGAACUGCCUUUGAUACUGGGUAUCUUGAGUAUGGAAGAGGUUAGUGGAAUUGCGAGUGUAGAGGUGAAAUUCGUAGAUAUUCGCAGGAACACCAGUGGCGAAGGCGGCUAACUGGUCCAUAACUGACGCUGAGGUGCGAAAGCGUGGGGAGCAAACAGGAUUAGAUACCCGCGUAGUCCCUGUCUCUUAUAC
rnacentral:rRNA from 1 species